UUUUAGUUGUUCUACUCUAUUCAUGAUACAAUGUUGCGUGUUCACAGUUACGUUCUGGGGAAAAAAGUUUUUGAAAUUUCCUGGCACACUUGCCCAUUCUAGCGUCUGAAACCCAGAUAUGUGUCUACUUGUAGUGAACCUGACGGCGCCUCCAUGGCCGAAGUCCAAAGCAACGCGGUUUACAGUUCAAAUCUCAACGGCCCUCACGUUUGCGGCCAAUGCGGGACGACCUUCAGCCGCCUGCAUCACUUCCGCAGGCACCUGGCCAUGCACCUGUACUGGGAAGCAAUCGACGAGGAACGCGGUGCAAAAGUCGAGGAGAAGGCGCAGCCACUGGACCACCAGCAACUCCACGACAAAGCUGAUCUAGACGCUGGUCGGCGACGACUUGACGAAGCCGAGGAACGCCGGGAAGCCUGCGGACAGCUCCCGGGGAAGAGACGGAAGGCAGAUGGCGUACAAGGCACCAGUCGCCCAUUGACACGUAGUUACAGAAAGAUAAUUUUAAGGAAACGAAUAAAGAGAGAACUCUGACUGAAAUUGCACUCGUAGAAGUGUUCUUCAAGCCCUGCGAUUUCAUUUAAAAGGACCAAUAAAGAAAAGAGCCAAAUUCUA